GUAAAUGGUAAUAUGCUCUAAACCGCUCUGGUGACAAACUUUGCUGCCUUGUUUCCAAUCGUCCACAUGGCUGCGAGAACCUAUUCAAGAUUAAACAUGGACGUCAAAGCUGGAUGUGUUGAUGGACUCGAGGGCCAAAUGAAUCAGAGGACACAUGCAGUAUUUCCACCACUACUUACAGUACCUUCGGACACAAAGCCAGAGUGUAUGUGGGCACGGAGGGAAAACCCUCUCUGUCACCCCAAAGAGGGAGGUGACGAAAAAGGAGUUGUGGCAGAGGACGUUACCUCCAGGAGCUGCCACAAUGUGCAGCCGCCGACACCUGUUACCCAGCAUGCCCCUAAAAGGAGAGAGAGGCGCCAAUCAGAGCAAAGUUACCGCCCGGCUGCUGCCACAGGCUGUCCCCAAGACCCGCAGAGCCAAGCCGAGCAGACGUUCUGAACUUUGGACCCCCUCUCUCUCUUCUCUCUCUCUCUCUCCCUCUCUCUGUCUCUCUCCCUGCCCCCCCCCUCUCUUAACUUCUAACCCCUUUCCCACCCCCCUCUGUCACUCUCUCUCUUUCUCUCUCUCUCUCUCUCUCUCUCUCCCUCUCUCUGUCUCUCUCCCUGCCCCCCCCCCCUCUCUUAACUUCUAACCCCCUUCCCACCCCCCUCUGUCACUCUCUUAACCCCCCAGCUGUCUGGCAUGUUUCUGGCUCUUCACUCUCAAACAUACCACAACGGCUCUUGGCUGGAAAAUGUACACAGGCACUAUCCCACCACAGACACUAUCCCACUACAGACACUAUCCCACCACAGACACUAUCCCACUACAGACACUAUCCCACCACAGGCACUAUCCCACCACAGACACUAUCCCACCACAGACACUAUCCCACUACAGACACUAUCCCACUACAGACACUAUCCCACCACAGGCACUAUCCCACCACAGGCACUAUCCCACCACAGACACUAUCCCACCACAGGCACUAUCCCACCACAGACACUAUCCCACCACAGACACUAUCCCACCACAGGCACUAUCCCACCACAGGCACUAUCCCACCACAGGCACUAUCCCACCACAGGCACUAUCCCACCACAGACACUAUCCCACUACAGACACUAUCCCACCACAGACUGGACUGCCCCUCAAACCACUUCUUAACGAGACGCCCCCCAGGGGGGUCUAAAGUUACACCCCCACCGCC
rnacentral:lncRNA from 1 species